GUUAGGAAUAUUGGACAAUGGGCGAAAGCCUGAUCCAGCCAUGCCGCGUGAACGAUGAAGGCCUUCGGGUUGUAAAGUUCUUUAGCCGAUGAUUAUAAUGACUGUAGUCGGAAAAUAAGCCCCGGCUAACUUCGUGCCAGCAGCCGCGGUAAUACGAAGGGGGCGAGCGUGAUUCGGAAUCACUGGGCGUAAAGCGUGCGUAGGCGGGUUUGUAAGUUAGGAGUGAAAGCCCAGGGCUGAACCUUGGAAUUGCUCUUAAAACUGCAAGGCUCGAAUCUCGGAGAGGAUAGCGGAAUUUCCAGUGUAGCAGUGAAAUGCGUAGAUAUUGGAAGGAACACCAGUGGCGUAAGCGGCUAUCUGGACGAGUAUUGACGCUGAGGCACGAAAGCGUAGGGAUCAAACAGGAUUAGAUACCCGUGUAGUCC
rnacentral:rRNA from 1 species